rnacentral:rRNA from 1 species
UACGAAGGGGGCUAGCGUUGUUCGGAAUCACUGGGCGUAAAGGGCGCGUAGGCGGCUUUGUAAGUCGGGGGUGAAAGCCUGUGGCUCAACCGCAGAAUUGCCUUCGAUACUGCAUGGCUUGAGACCGGAAGAGGUAAGUGGAACUGCGAGUGUAGAGGUGAAAUUCGUAGAUAUUCGCAAGAACACCAGUGGCGAAGGCGGCUUACUGGUCCGGUUCUGACGCUGAGGCGCGAAAGCGUGGGGAGCAAACAGG